AGCAGUCGCCGCGGUAAUACGGAGGGAGCUAGCGUUAUUCGGAAUUACUGAGCGUAAAGCGCACGUAGGCGGCUUUGUAAGUAAGAGGUGAAAGCCUGGUGCUCAACACCAGAACUGCCUUUUAGACUGCAUCGCUUGAAUCCAGGAGAGGUGAGUGGAAUUCCGAGUGUAGAGGUGAAAUUCGUAGAUAUUCGGAAGAACACCAGUGGCGAAGGCGGCUCACUGGACUGGUAUUGACGCUGAGGUGCGAAAGCGUGGGGAGCAAACAGGAUUAGAUACCCGCGUAGCCCUGUCUCUUAUACA
rnacentral:rRNA from 1 species